AACGAACGCUGGCGGCAUGCCUAACACAUGCAAGUCGAACGAGACCUUCGGGUCUAGUGGCGCACGGGUGCGUAACGCGUGGGAACCUGCCCUUAGGUUCGGAAUAACUCCCCGAAAGGGGUGCUAAUACCGGAUAAUGUCUUCGGACCAAAGAUUUAUCGCCUUUGGAUGGGCCUGCGUUGGAUUAGCUAGUUGGUAGGGUAAAAGCCUACCAAGGCGACGAUCCAUAGCUGGUCUGAGAGGAUGAUCAGCCACACUGGGACUGAGACACGGCCCAGACUCCUACGGGAGGCAGCAGUGGGGAAUAUUGGACAAUGGGCGAAAGCCUGAUCCGGCAAUGCCGCGUGAGUGAUGAAGGCCUUAGGGUUGUAAAGCUCUUUUACCCGGGAUGAUAAUGACGGUACCGGGAGAAUAAGCUCCGGCUAACUCCGUG
rnacentral:rRNA from 1 species